CAACAGGACUUUAUAGUCCACCCACAGUAAAAAUAAAAAUUAAU
rfam:Podiceps cristatus contig14960, whole genome shotgun sequence.